rnacentral:rRNA from 1 species
CAAUAGCGUAUAUUUAAGUUGUUGCAGUUAAAAAGCUCGUAGUUGGAUUUCGGUUAAGAGCGACCGGUCCGCCGUUUGGUGUGCACUGGUUGGUUUUAACUUCCUGUAGAGGACGUGCUCUGGGUUUAACGACCUGGACUCGGAGUCUACGUGGUUACUUUGAAAAAAUUAGAGUGUUCAAAGCGGGCUUACGCUUGAAUAUUUCAGCAUGGAAUAACACUAUAGGACUCCUGUCCUAUUUCGUUGGUCUCGGGACGGGAGUAAUGAUUAAGAGGAACAGUUGGGGGCACUCGUAUUUCAUUGUCAGAGGUGAAAUUCUUGGAUUUAUGAAAGACGAACUUCUGCGAAAGCAUUUGCCAAGGAUGUUUUCAUUA